rnacentral:tRNA from 1 species
UCCCUGGAGGUCCAGUGGUUAGGACUCAGCAUUUUCACUGCUGUGGCCCAGGUUCAAUACUUGGUCACGGAA